rnacentral:piRNA from 1 species
GGCUUACCCGAUAAAGCAGUGAGCAG